UACGGUCACAUCAGUUUGAAACACCGGUUCCCGUACGAUCACCGAAGUUAAGCAACGUCGAGGCUUGUCAGUACCUAAAUAGCUGACCGCUUGGGGAAUACAAGGUGCUGUAAG